UCUGCAAUUCUUCAAGUCCUCAGUGAUGCCACCAUGAAGAGAAUUUGAUCCCAAGGAAAUCUUCUCCAGCGAUUGCAAACCGCAUAUUGACUCAAACGGAAGAACACCCUCGAGUUGUUGCUGGGGAAGAUUGAUUUCCUUAACGAGUCCAUUAGCAUAGCAAAUAAUUCCAGUGAAGUUGCAUACAGAAUUUUCUUGUGUCCAUGAGCUGAACACAUCAGUUUUUGAAUUCUUGAGGGCAGACUUCACGUUCAGAAGCAUUUGAAGCUCAUCUGAUUUGGUUG
rnacentral:misc_RNA from 1 species